AUUUAGUAGCGAAGUAGCUGAUUUCACACUGUCAAGAAAAGUCACUAUCGAGGUUAAAGGUACCCGUACCGCAAACCGACACAGGUGGGUGAGGAGAGUAUCCUAAGGCCAGCGAGAGAACUGUUGUUAAGGAACUCGGCAAAAUGACCCCGUAACUUAGGGAUAAGGGGUGCCACCAUCAGGUGGCCGCAGAGAAUAGGCCCAAGCGACUGUUUACCAAAAACAUAGGUUUCUGCUAAGUCGCAAGACGAUGUAUAGGAGCUGACGCCUGCCCGGUGCUGGAAGGUUAAGGGGAUCUGUUAGAGUAAUCGAAGCAGUGAACUUAAGCCCCAGUAAACGGCGGCCGUAACUAUAACGGUCCUAAGGUAGCGAAAUUCCUUGUCGGGUAAGUUCCGACCCGCACGAAAGGCGUAACGAUUUGGGCACUGUCUCAACAACAGACUCGGUGAAAUUGUAAUUCCGGUGAAGAUGCCGGAUACCUGCGACAGGACGGAAAGACCCCAUGGAGCUUUACUGUAGCUUGACAUUGGGUCUUGGUACUACAUGUACAGGAUAGGUGGGAGGCUUUGAAACCAGGACGCCAGUUUUGGCGGAGCCAUCCUUGGGAUACCACCCUUGUAGUACUGGGACUCUAACCAUAGGCCAUGAAUCUGGUCUUGGGACACUGUCAGGUGGGCAGUUUGACUGGGGCGGUCGCCUCCCAAAAGG
rnacentral:rRNA from 1 species